CAGGCUUCCCGUUGAAAUAAAUAUCCUUAUACAGUAUUUAUAACGCGCUGUCAUCUUUUUCAUUUCCUCUUGAAAGUGUCAACGCCAAAAGGCUACUAACUCACGCUGGGGAAUCAAAGGUUUUCUAUCAUUUAUAGCUGCAACAAACAUUUUCUCACAUGUGAGGCCGCUACCUUUCAGCGAUUUUGAUUAUUAAGCGUGAUUUUCCUCUGGCGGCGUACUGUUGCCCUCGGGCUGCGUAGCACCUACACGUAUGGACCAUUUCCACUCUUGUGAUGUAGGCGUUUCAUCCCUGCACGGUAGCGAGUCUGAAAACAUGUUUCGAUGCAAUGCAGUGACACAAAGGAGGUUAAUGGAAAACGUAACUGCUGCUGGGAUGGAGAUGCUGCAUUACAUGCUGAACUUAGAGUCUACAUUUACGGCGGGUCUUCGUUGCAUGUAAACAACAUGAAUAAGAGAGUUUAUCCUCUCCUUUAACCCGUUGUUUAUUGAUGGGACCAGGAUGAGUUGUUCAAUACGACACAGCGAGGCUUCCAAAGAAGUUAACAUUUUCAAACUAAGCUUCGCGCAUGCUUAAAUACAAAUCAUAUUCAGGGAAGCGGGUGAACCGCCAUCUUAAAAUGUGUUCCCCCGACCUGGAUCCUCGCCAUUGGUGCCACGCUGGCCGUAUGGCUGCUGAUGGCCACGUGUGUUCUUUGUGUCUCCAGGUGAGCAAUGGACUGACGGUUGACAUUUACUUACAGAAGGACCUCGCGCGUGUCUUUGUCACUGUGCUGCACACUCAGUAUCCGCAAGAGGUGGUUAAACACGUGCUCGCCUAUUUUAUUUAAGACUCGACAUCACUUGUGAUGCUGAUUUAGUUUGACAGCGGUGUACAUGCGCACGACGCAGACACAACAACAAACACGUGGCAACAGCUGCAUGAACACGCUACUUACAAGCCACUUGCGUCUGCCCUAGAAAGCAAUUAACCUUGAGCAGAGCGGACGGCAUUUGGAAGCAGAGGGCUGAGCGAUGAAUGCAGAGGGCGGAGCCCCUGCCGCUGCUCAUUAGUGACGCGCCACACGUGAACCCGUCCCACGUGUUUGCAUUGACACGCAGGCAAGUGUCGUGAAGAAGAAGGUUCGGGCCUACUUAUGCAAUGGUUAAUGAGUUUCACGGUGAUGGAUGGCCUCCAUCAGUUUCCUUUUUUUAACAGAUGGAUCUGCAUGGCAUAACAGCAGUAACUGUGUUUUGAUAUUUGCGUCUUAAAACCAAAUAGAUUGAAAUUUCGACAUGAGUGUUGAUUGUCAAGCGAUUAAAGCAGAAAAAUUUCCUCUGCAAAGCGGGUUGCGAGGGCGUCCCGUUCAUUAAAGCUGGGUGGGCCGGACGGAGGAUGAAUAGAUACUCAGAGGGACGAGACAGAGGGCGGUGCGGAUGUCUCAUCUUGGCAAUCUUUAACGUUCAAAGUACCCACAAGGUACUUGAAGAAAAGGACAAAGUAGCCGAUGGAUAAAGCAGGACGGGAGAGAAAUGUGGAGUCCGGAUUGAGAUGGACCAGCUGGUCUGAACUUUUGGUGGCUUUCAGCAAAGAUAAGACCUUAGACCUUGGAUUUGGGUGAUAGGAAAAGCACAGGCAAAAUGCAUUUAUUUAAGAAUGGCUUAAUUCCAUCGAGUGUCCCAGGCAGCCAUGACAGUGAGCGCGAAUGCCCAGGAACUACAACUCACCUGUCCCUCUUCCACCCAAACACACGCACUCACAGUGACUCGCAUGAGUGGGACUCGGGCAGCCUUUAAAAUGAGCUCCCUCAUCAAACCCGUAAUACCCACAUGUUCCUCCCACAGAUUGUCCCUGAGAUUUCUUAUUGUGUUUUUCCUGCAAUUAACCUGCAACCGUUCAAUAUGUUGACCUCCUCUUCCAUCGCUCAGGCCGGGAUCCGUCUGUCCUUGAACCUGGUGGGGAUUAAGCGUAGAUAGGUAGAACAUUGGAAUCUUUUGAUCUCAUCAUAUUUCGAUGUACUCGGCCAGAGAAUACACCGGUAAUCCCGGACUCACUUUCCAGCUAUGAUUGUCAAUGUAUGUUUUUUAAGGCAGUCAAGUGAAUGUUUUCCCAGUCCUCCCUAACAAGAUUAGACACGUGGAUAAAAGCUGCAUGCAGCCUACUCUUGUCUUUGUGAGUGAAGGGGAAGGGGAAGUUAGGCACCUGCAUCAGAUUAACAUUCUGCGGCAGUGGGGACUUGAUUUCACUGAACUCAUUACCGGUUGCUCACUCUUUAUGUAAUUAUUUAUCAAUGCAAAGGAAAUGUACAUGCCCCAAAAUUGUGAUGGAUAGCACGCAAUAUCAUCAUCUCAACAUCAUAGAUAUUAUCGUAUUAAAUUGCUAGAACUGCUGCAUUAUUUAUAGUUGUGUGAAAUGGAUUUUCGCUUAAUUGUCGUAAGUCAAUCUUGAGCAUGUGUUGCGCGGAACCCUCACGCUGAAAAUAACAUAAAGCGAUUGCUUCCAAUUUUCAGCAAUCAGAAGUAAUUACUGAGAUAUUGUAAAUGAUAAUGUCCAUCAGAAAAGCAAUCAGUAAAUCCAAAAUCACCAUCAUCAUUCGUAAGAGGCGAAAUGCAUUCGCUGGGUGUCUCUCAUGAGUUCAGCACAAAGUCGCCCACAUUUAUUCAGGCUCCUGUGUAGGUGUUGGAAAAUCGUUUAUUGUCAUGAUUGUUUUUUGUGUUAAAUAUUGCGGAAUCUUACAUUCUCGUCACAGUCAGUCUGUACAGUUAGAUGAGGCCUGUCGCUCUCAAAGCGUGAAACAUGGACCCCAAAGCAAAAUGGUCUCUCACUGUGUGCCGAGGCCCACCAGUGACACCGCGCACAACCCACCCGCUACACUGCCGGGCGCCACGCAGCCAACGUGCAGCCAACGUGCAGCCAACGCACAACCAGCACACAGACCAGGGGCUCCGAGACAACUGAGUGGCUGAAGGGAACAAGCUCGUAGCAAUUUGCCUGGUUAGGGGGCUUCAUUUGAGCUGGUGGGGAAUAAUUUGGUAACCGUGGCAACAAGUACGGUGUUGCAUACUGGUGUUCCUGUGUUGGACUCUGCGUACUUUGUCAGGUCGCUGGGUCUGUGUGUGUCUGUGUGUGUGUGUGUGUGUCUGUGUGUGCGUGUGUGUGUGUGUGUGUGUGUCUCUCAUAGAGCACGCUGUUUCAAGUAGUACAAAAAAGAAAGCAGCUGAAAAAUCCCCCUCGCUUCUGCAGUGGGAUGUGACAAAAGGAAUAUUAUUAUCAAAUACGUCUACUGGCUUAAAAAGGCAGCUCUACUCAGCGCUGGUGAGUGUUUUUGGUAGAAAUUGUCCAGUUAAAAAACAUCACUGGCUCACCAAUAUGUAAUUUUGCUCGUCACUCAAAACCUCGUACGUUUCUGACUUUAUUCUGGAAUUCUUCACAGCUUCUUUUUCCCCAGUUUGAACCGAGCCGGCAUCGUCUCAUCUUUCUCUCCCCGGCGCUCUCCACUACAUCGGAGGGCGAGGCGUGACACCCCUCCCCCCGUCCCCCCCCCGUCCCCCGCCGUGUGCUGCGCCUGUGGAGAGUCUCGUCCCUCACCCGGACCCAGGACACCUCCUGACAAGGUCACCGAAGUUCUGCCACUCUGAGAUUAAAACAGCUCCAUCUAUCCACUGGAAAUCUGCCCACCGUGGAAAGCUUGAGCUGGAUGACACUGCAAGCUGUUUUUCUCCCUGGAAGACCUUUCCAUCACAGGCGACAAGGCUCUUGCCCAGUCUGCCAAAACACUCAAUGCAACGACAGGAUGUAGAGUGAAGGUCGAACUGCAGUUACAUCUUGAUCUUUAUAGGUUGUAACUUUUUUGGGCAUCAGCAAAGUCCAGCUGAUACUUCAAGACAAUGAACUCCCCUUAGUUUACCUCCUGAGACGCUCACUUACUCUUUUGGAAUUUUGGGCUUGCGUGUUUAGGAGAAAGUCACUUGUUCCAUCCCAGACGAUAGGCAAUGAUCUAAUAAAACUUUUGUUCAUUUUGGAACUUCAUCUCAGUCAUGAUACAUUUUUCCAUUAUUCAUUAAUCUAUUGACCUUUUUAUUCAUUGAAAAAAGGUCUAAGGUGACUCAAAGGAUCUCUUUCUCCUGACGAUAAUUUUAAAAGAUAGACAACACCAAUCAAUUGGCAAAAUAAUUAUUUUUCCAUGGAAAGGCAACGAUCAGAGGCAAAAAAAAAUCCAUCCACAUGUUCUUUGUAUAGUUCACAUCUGGUGAACUUUUACAACCAUACUGGCACCAACGACUAACAUUAAUCUGUCUUGACAGCACUGACCUUUUUGAGGAGACUCGAGUCGUAGCUUAUUAGCAGCAUUGCAUCAUGAACAUUUAUUUACUGUCUUCUGUCAGCGUAAAAACUAUUCCACAACAGAGUAAUGGGUUUUAAACAGUCAUGAGACAUAAAUAUAUUAUACAAAAGUGGCGUUUUAACUGUGUUAACUAAUUGCCCCAUUAGCGAGGAGAUAAAGAGUUUGCUAAGUGGCCACUUUCUGUUUUUUCUUCUUCAAUGUCCUUUUAUUGAGUGAAAAUGUUGAGCAUGAAAUAAGACAACAGUGGUGAAGUGAACAUAACAGUUUAGCACAGGGAUCCUUUGUGACCAGCAACAUGUCUUUAAAAAUGACUUAAAUGGUUUAUGAAAUUACUUUCUGUAAAUACUUUAAAAAAAAUGUAUUGACUAAUUUCAACAUGAGUUUUCACAUGAACUCUGUGUGGUGGAAAAAACGGGUAAUUCAUGUGCAUCCAAAGGGAGCAGUGGUGUUUGAGUUUCCGCAUGGUGCAGUUUUGAACUGGUUAGGUGCAGCUGAACCUCUGAAAAAUCACAGUUAUAUAAACAUUACUCGAGUGUUUCUCUGUGUGUCUCGUGUGCAUGCGUAAUCUUUGCCCUCUGAACAUGCAGUGAUUUUAUUGGUAGACAUGAACAAGCAGCAUCUAACAGCUCCCGUAUGAAAGUGAAGAGCCUCUCACCCCUUU